rnacentral:rRNA from 1 species
UACGGGGGGGGCAAGCGUUGUUUGGAAUUACUGGGCGUAAAGGGCUCGUAGGCGGCCAACUAAGUCAGACGUGAAAUCCCUCGGCUUAACCGGGGAACUGCGUCUGAUACUGGAUGGCUUGAAUCCGGGAGAGGGAUGCGGAAUUCCAGGUGUAGCGGUGAAAUGCGUAGAUAUCUGGAGGAACACCGGUGGCGAAGGCGGCAUCCUGGACCGGCAUUGACGCUGAGGAGCGAAAGCCAGGGGAGCAAACGGG